ACUCCUACGGGAGGCAGCAGUGGGGAAUAUUGCGCAAUGGGGGAAACCCUGAUGCAGCAACGCCGCGUGAGUGAUGACGGUCUUCGGAUUGUAAAGCUCUGUCUUCAGGGACGAUAAUGACGGUACCUGAGGAGGAAGCCACGGCUAACUACGUGCCAGCAGCCGCGGUAAUACGUAGGUGGCGAGCGUUGUCCGGAUUUACUGGGCGUAAAGGGAGCGUAGGCGGAUUUUUAAGUGAGAUGUGAAAUACCCGGGCUCAACUUGGGUGCUGCAUUUCAAACUGGAAGUCUAGAGUGCAGGAGAGGAGAGUGGAAUUCCUAGUGUAGCGGUGAAAUACGUAGAGAUUAGGAAGAACACCAGUGGCGAAGGCGACUCUCUGGACUGUAACUGACGCUGAGGCUCGAAAGCGUGGGGAGCAAACAGGAUUAGAUACCCUGGUAGUC
rnacentral:rRNA from 1 species